rnacentral:rRNA from 1 species
AUGGCGGCAAAGAAACAUCUCUUUUGCUUUGGGUCUUUCGUGAUAAAGGACGGGUCGGAGAUUCGUUUCUGGGAAGACAUCUGGCUAGGCAAUGCCAGUCUCAGAGAACAAUAUCCAGCCUUAUAUAACAUCGCUCGCGAUAAGAAUAAUACUAUUGCGCACGUGCUCGGUUCUUCCCCGCCGAAUAUUUCGUUCAGGCGGGAUUUGAUUGGCCCCCGGCUUGUGUCAUGGCAUAAUCUUUUAUCCCGGCUGGAUUCGAUUAACCUGACACAAGGUCGGGAUGUGUUUCACUGGAACCUUACUACAUCAGGAUCUUUCACAGUGGACUCUAUGUACCGUGCACUCACGCAUUCUGAGAAAAUGCUCCUCCCAGACCCCCAUGCAGAAAGAUGGAAAACACUCACUGACUCAGUCGCGCAUCGAUUCCCUGACCUGGCUCCCGCACUCGACCUGCGCUCCCGCACAGAAAGUCUAGGGUUCGUCUUUGCCGCCGCCACCACCGCCGCCGGUCCCUGGCUCCUCGUCGCGGCUAGCUCCGGCAACAUGGACGGCGGGUAG